UUUCAAUUACAUGUAAAACUUACUUGGGCCUUCCAGUAAACGCUUUAGUUUGCAUACUUCAGGUUAGACAGAGAGCUUUUGGACCAUGACAAUCAACAUCUUCCUAGGAUUUGUGAAAUCUUUUCUGAGGUUUUAGCUGAGGGAAGCGAUCUUGUUACAAAAGAAACUGCUGACAGGAUCUCUGCGCUGUUGAUUGAUUUGUUAGAAUCAAAGAAACUGCGAACUCAAUUUCUACUUUUGGCUUUGCAUUCGAUGCAGCAAUUUCCUCAUCUUUCUAGUUUCUUGUAGUGGGUUUGCAUCCGAAACAUUGCUCCAUGUAUAGGUCAUUCUUUUUGUACAGAAUCUUCUCUUCAGCAGCAAUCUGCUAUCAAAUAUGCUUACUUGGUUACCGAGUGUAAAUCAGUAUAGCCGACAGGCAGGGUGAAAAAUUGUAAAGCACAAAUAUCAUAACAUGUUUUUUGCAAAGGUUCUGAGCAAAUGGCCUACUGAUUUACCAAUGUAUAUAUUUCAUACUUCCGCACAGUAAGUAUCAUUUUAAUUUUUCAGCAAAAAUCUGUUAGACUGUUA